CUACAAAUGCCUUAAUUAUAUACAAAUGAUUUACUAAAUUUGGCCUAACUAUCCACUAUACAAAAUUAGAAUUAAAUAAAAAUAAAAUCAGAUUUUCUUCUAAUUUUAGGUUUUACAAAGUCAAAAGAAAUCUAAUAAGUUCUUGACUAUUUCUAAGUUUCUGAUUCGGCUCCACUUAAUUGACUGUGUUGCAAAUUAGUCAUUUUCUGCUUGUUUUUUACUCAUAGCAUCCCAAUUGCAUUCCUAAUAGGAUUAAAAUAUAAAAUUAUUAAUUUAGCAGGGAUCAAUUCAAGAAUUAACCGAUUUAAAGACAAAAAAUAAUGCAAAUUUAACAGGUUAUCAUUUUGGAUGAUUAUUCAGUGUUAAUUGUGAAUUUUAUGCUCAUAAUUCUUUAAAUUCAUGUUCUUAUGCUUAAGAGAGCAUUUGGGAGCAAAAAGAGUAAAAAAUAAGAGCAAAAAUCAAAAAAUCAAAGCAAGCUAAAGGAGCCACAUGGGCAACCACACAUCCAUUUCGAUUUCGCAAAUUUGCACUAUGAACUGCGAAAAAUCACAAUUUUUAGGUUUUUCGAGCAUUUUAAGACGUAUAUAUAUAUGACAAAAAUAAGAAGAUAGGAGGAAGCCGUCAUAGAAUACUCAAGAAAACAACUCGAAAAACACCAUUGAAGUUGAUUUGAAACAGAUUUUCGUCAAAAUUAAAGAUUCCCAAUUGAUUUCUUUAUUUCUUUCGGUUAUAUUGUAUUUUAGAUGUUUUUAUUUGCAAGUAUGAACAAGUUUUCUAAAUACCUAGGGGAGAUGAACCCUAUGAUAGAUUAUGUUGUUUGAUUUUUAUUUUGCACAAUAAAUACUUAGUUUCUUAUUCUCAAUUAUGUGCUUAAAAGUAGAUCUUGCGUAAUUAAGUGGAGUUACAAGCAAUCCUAGAUAUAGGACGACAUAAAUCUACAGGAUUAGAGUCAAAUCUAAUAAGAGAAUUCAUAGCAUGAGUUAAUGCAAUAUUAGAGGUUUUAAUUAGAAAGAAAUUUCAAUUAAUCAACCUAGAGUCAGUUGUUUUUAUUCUUGAAAAAGAUAUUAGCAUAAUUUAGAGAUUUCUACAGAUCAAGAUAUUAAGUAAAUAAAUUGUGUAGUUUAGAUUGAUAGUGACAGAUGAAAUCUAAGUGAAUUCUUUCUUAGGUAUUGUUUCGUUUCUUCGAUUGCUUUCAUGUUUUGUUCUUUAUUGUGUUCAUUAAUUAAUUAAUUUAAUUAAUUUUAGUUUUUAAUACAUCACUCAAACUAUUCGGUUAAAUAAAAAAAAAGAUGUUAAAUUCUAUAACUUUUAGCUAUAUUAUUAAUUGAUAGGUAUACUUGUUUUAGUCAAUUUUUUAGUUAGUUCCGACGCAUCAAUAUUAUCGAUAUAACACUAUUUUACGUUUACAUAUUAUAUAUAAACAACAAUGUUUAAUUUAAUAUACUUAUUUUUUAAAUGUAUAUAAUUGAAUAAAAAUCAAAAUUUUAUAUAUAUAACUGAACCAAAAUCAAGGUUUCGUGUAAUGUAAUUACUUUAAAUCAAAGUUUAUAUAUCGCAUUGCACAUGUAAAUUUAAAAAUUAUCCCUUUUUAAUGCUAUUAAACAAAACCAAAAUUUUUUAAUUAUUAAUUAAUCUAAUAUUUAUUUAAUAUCAAAUAUAGUAUAUGUAUAAUCCCGAUUCUGCCCGGGCAUCACAAACCCAAUAAGCCCAAUUUACCCUAGCCCAAAACCUUAACUAAAAAAAAAAACUAGCCUCUCCUCACCUCUCCUCACCCUAGGUCUUCAACCACCCUCUGCCGUUGCUCCUCUGACACCACCAACUCCUCUGCCACCGCCAUUGACCCCUAGGCCUGGAAAACAAAAACAAGAAGAAAGCAGAGAAGCAGGAAGCAAAAAAAAUAGAAAACUAAAGAUUGUAUUUGGCUAUAAAAAGAGCCUUAAACAAACAAUGUUUUUUUGGACACUGAUAUUGAAAUACAACAAAAAAAAGCAGUUAUAAAAAAGAAAAAGGUGAUUUCUAACAUCUUGUAUUUCUCUCAUCUCGAGUCUGUUUUGUUUUCUUCUUUGUUUGCAUGCGUUUUUAGUAUAAUAAAAAUAAAACAAAAGACUUACCAUUGAGAGUUUGUCUUCGAAAUCCUCAUCUUCUUCGUCUAAACCGAAGUUUAAGAGGGGAUUUCGGGGUUGAAAUUGGCAUACGUGGCUCUAAUCGGCCUAGAACGAGCUUUGCUCACCACCAAUUAUCGGUCACGGUAGUGUGUGGUGGCUGGGUAAAGGCUUCAUGGUUCAGCCGAAUGAAUAAGGGGGGAGAGACUUCAGUUUCUGUUUUUUCUUAUUUUUUCUUUUGAUUUGUUUAGAGUGGCUGAAUGAUAGUUUUAGGGUUUUUUUAAUUUGGUUUUGUAAGGAGAAUGAAACGGUGGCGUUUAGGGGUAGGGUGAUCUGCGGGUUGACCCAUUUCCAGAGCCGGGUCCGUGUCUCUCUGCUUCAAGUGGGAAAUUUGGACGGUUAACCCCUCUCUUUCGCGCCACAUUUCAG
rnacentral:lncRNA from 1 species